UGCAUCAUCUCCAGAUCUCGCGCCUCUCUCUCCCUCUCCCGAUCUCUCUCUCUCUCUCUCUCUCUCUCUCUCUCUCUCACUUGCAUCAUCUCCAAAUCUGGUGUGGCCAGCAGCCCCUGCCCUUCAUCUCUUCCCUGGCCAGGUAUCUGGGUUCAAGCCUAACUAAUCCUUCUGGAGUGCCAUCGUUCUAACACAGAAUCCAAGUUCACCUCCAUUUCUAGAAGCAGUUCAAAAGU